ACUCCAUGGUUAGGACAUUUUCUGAUAAUGUCCUUAUACCUCUCCCAUGCUUCAUAGAGAUUCUCUCCAUAAAACAUUCUGAAAUUAGAGAGCUCUGCUCUAACAUU